AGCUUCGACCAGGGUUCGAUUCGAGCGCAGCGAGAAAGCGUUGCCGCAGGCAACGACCCGAAGGGCGAAGCGCGCAGCGCUGAGUCAUCCUUCCCCCACCACCA
rnacentral:sRNA from 1 species